rnacentral:rRNA from 1 species
CGUAGGUGGCAAGCGUUGUCCGGAUUUACUGGGCGUAAAGCGCGCGCAGGCGGACUGAUCAGUCUGGGGUGGAAUCUCCCGGCUCAACUGGGAGCGGUCCCUGGAUACUGUCAGUCUUGAGAGACCUAGAGGAGAGCGGAAUUCCCGGUGUAGUGGUGGAAUGCGUAGAUAUCGGGAAGAACACCAGUGGCGAAAGCGGCUCUCUGGGGGUUUUCUGACGCUGAGGCGCGAAAGCGUGGGGAGCGAACCGGAUUAGAUACCCGGGUAGUCCACGCCGUAAACGAUGAGUACUAGCUGUCGGGGGUAUCGACCCCCUCGGUAGCGCAGCUAACGCGAUAAGUACUCCGCCUGGGGACUACGACCGCAAGGUUA